CGCGUGCACUGGUGCGGCCGGAUCUUUCCUUCUGGCUAACCUCAUGCCCUUUACUGGGUGUGCUGGGGAUCCAGGACUUUUACUUUGAAAAAAUUAGAGUGUUCAAAGUAGGCCUUUGCUCGAAUACAUUAGCAUGGAAUAAUAGAAUAGGACGGCGGUUCUAUUUUGUUGGUUUCUAGAGCCACCGUAAUGAUUAAUAGGGAUAGUCGGGGGCAUCAGUAUUCAGUUGUCAGAGGUGAAAUUCUUGGAUUUACUGAAGACUAACUACUGCGAAAGCAUUUGCCAAGGAUGUUUUCAUUAAUCAGUGAACGAAAGUUAGGGGAUCGAAGACGAUCAGAUACCGUCGUAGUCUUAACCAUAAACUAUGCCGACUAGGGAUCGGGCGGUGCUCAACUUAUGACCCGCUCGGCACCUUACGAGAAAUCAAAGUUUUUGGGUUCUGGGGGGAGUAUGGUCGCAAGGCUGAAACUUAAAGGAAUUGACGGAAGGGCACCACCAGAUGUGGAGCCUGCGGCUUAAUUUGACUCAACACGGGGAAACUCACCAGGUCCAGACACAUUAAGGAUUGACAGAUUGAGAGCUCUUUCUUGAUUAUGUGGGUGGUGGUGCAUGGCCGUUCUUAGUUGGUGGAGUGAUUUGUCUGCUUAAUUGCGAUAACGAACGAGACCUUAACCUGCUAAAUAGCCAGGCUAGCUUUUGCUGGUCGCCGGCUUCUUAGAGGGACUAUCGG
rnacentral:rRNA from 1 species